rnacentral:rRNA from 1 species
GAUGAACGCUGGCGGCGUGCCUAAUACAUGCAAGUCGAGCGAAUGGAUUAAGAGCUUGCUCUUAUGAAGUUAGCGGCGGACGGGUGAGUAACACGUGGGUAACCUGCCCAUAAGACUGGGAUAACUCCGAGAAACCGGGGCUAAUACCGGAUAACAUUUUGAACCGCAUGGUUCGAAAUUGAAAGGCGGCUUCGGCUGUCACUUAUGGAUGGACCCGCGUCGCAUUAGCUAGUUGGUGAGGUAACGGCUCACCAAGGCAACGAUGCGUAGCCGAGCUGAGAGGGGGAUCGGCCACACUGGGCCUGAGACACGGCCCAGACUCCUACGGGAGGCAGCAGUAGGGAAUCUUCCGCAAUGGACGAAAGGCUGACGGAGCAACGCCGCGUGAGUGAUGAAGGCUUUCGGGUCGUAAAACUCUGUUGUUAGGGUAGAACAAGUGCUAGUUGAAUAAGCUGGCACCUUGACGGUACCUAACCAGAAAGCCACGGCUAACUACGUGCCAGCAGCCGCGGUAA